rnacentral:rRNA from 1 species
CUUUUUCCUAUCUUUUGAGCAAUCAUUAGAAUUCCUUGUCGAAAGAAUUGAUUUUCUUUUAACGCGAUCCAUGAAACGAUCUCAGUUUUGGUUUAUUCGAAAGAACGCCGUCCGUCAGCCAGGUCGUCCGAUCCAAGCUU